GACGAACGCUGGCGGCGUGCUUAACACAUGCAAGUCGAACGGAAAGGCCCUGCUUUUGUGGGGUGCUCGAGUGGCGAACGGGUGAGUAACACGUGAGUAACCUGCCCUUGACUUUGGGAUAACUUCAGGCAACUGGGGCUAAUACCGGAUAGGAGCUCCUGCUGCAUGGUGGGGGUUGGAAAGUUUCGGCGGUUGGGGAUGGACUCGCGGCUUAUCAGCUUGUUGGUGGGGUAGUGGCUUACCAAGGCUUUGACGGGUAGCCGGCCUGAGAGGGUGACCGGCCACAUUGGGACUGAGAUACGGCCCAGACUCCUACGGGAGGCAGCAGUGGGGAAUAUUGCACAAUGGGCGGAAGCCUGAUGCAGCAACGCCGCGUGCGGGAUGACGGCCUUCGGGUUGUAAACCGCUUUCGCCUGUGACGAAGCGUGAGUGGCGGUAAUGGGUAAAGAAGCACCGGCUAACUACGUG
rnacentral:rRNA from 1 species